AACGAACGCUGGCGGCAUGCCUAACACAUGCAAGUCGAACGAGACGUUCGGGUCUAGCGGCGCAAGGGUGCGUAACAAAUGGGCAGCAGCCCUUGAGUACGGUAUCCUUCCCCGCACGGGGAGCUAAUACAGGAUGAUGUAUUCGGAGCAAGGAUUUCUCGCCGUUGGCUGGGCUCGCGUUGGAUUGGCUGGUUGGUAGGGUAAUAGCCUACCAUGGCGACGCUCCAUGGCUGGUGGGAGCGGAUGGCCAGCCACACUGGGACUGAGACACGGCCCAGACUCCUAGGGGUGGAAGCGGUGGGUAAGAUUGUACAAGGGGCGAAACCCUAAGCCAGCACUGUCGCGUGAGUCAGGAAGGCCUUAGGGUGGUAAUUCUCGUUUUACCGGGUGGAAAAUGACAGUACCGGGAGAAUAAGCGCCGGCUAACUCCGUG
rnacentral:rRNA from 1 species